GUCCGUUAUCCGGAUCCGGGACCCUGCGUGGCGGGUAGGUUGACUGGGGCGGUCGCCUCCUAAAGCGUAACGGAGGGGCGGGGAGGGUUGCUCAAAGCGGUCGGAAAUCGCUCGUUGAGUGCAAUGGCAGAAGCCAGCCUGACUGCGAGACUGACAAGUCGAGCAGAGUCGAAAGACGGCCAUAGUGAUCCGGUGGUCCCGAGUGGAAGGGCCAUCGCUCAACGGAUAAAAGGUACGCCGGGGAUAACAGGCUGAUACUGCCCAAGAGUCCAUAUCGACGGCAGUGUUUGGCACCUCGAUGUCGGCUCAUCUCAUCCUGGGGCUGGAGCAGGUCCCAAGGGUACGGCUGUUCGCCGUUUAAAGAGGUACGUGAGCUGGGUUUAGAACGUCGUGAGACAGUUCGGUCCCUAUCUGCCGUGGGUGUAGGAGACUUGAGAGGAGUUGCCCCUAGUACGAGAGGACCGGGGUGAACGAUCCACUGGUGGACCAGUUGUCGUGCCAACGGCAGUGCUGGGUAGCUAUGAUCGGACAGGAUAACCGCUGAAGGCAUCUAAGCGGGAAGCCCCCCUCAAAACAAGGUCUCCCUGAGGGCCGUGGAAGACCACCACGUCAAUAGGCCGGAGAUGUAAGCGCAGUAAUGCGUUCAGUUGACCGGUACUAAUCGCCCGAUAGGCUUGAUUUG
rfam:Ruegeria atlantica strain CECT 4293 genome assembly, contig: 0046